rnacentral:rRNA from 1 species
UACGUAGGGGGCAAGCGUUGUCCGGAUUUAUUGGGCGUAAAGCGCGCGCAGGUGGUGGAUUAAGUUGUGGGUAAAAGGCAUUGGCUCAACCAAUGUAAGCCUGCAAAACUGGUUCACUUGAGUGCAGGAGAGGGGAGUGGAAUUCCCGGUGUAGCGGUGGAAUGCGUAGAUAUCGGGAGGAACACCUGUGGCGAAAGCGGCUCACUGGACCACAACUGACGCUGAGGCGCGAAAGCUAGGGGAGCAAACAGGG